GAAUUCACUAGUGAUUAGAGUUUGAUCCUGGCUCAGAAUGAACGCUGGCGGUAUGCCUAACACAUGCAAGUCGAACGGAGUUCUUUUAGGAGAACUUAGUGGCGGACGGGUGUGUAACGCGUGAGAACCUGCCUACAAGAUGGGGACAACAGUUGGAAACGACUGCUAAUACCCAAUAAGCCGCAAGGUAAAAGAUUUAUCGCUUGAAGAGGGGCUCGCGUCCGAUUAGCUAGUUGGUGGGGUAAGAGCCUACCAAGGCAGCGAUCGGUAGCUGGUCUGAGAGGACGAGCAGCCACACUGGGACUGAGACACGGCCCAGACUCCUACGGGAGGCAGCAGUGGGGAAUUUUCCGCAAUGGGCGAAAGCCUGACGGAGCAAUACCGCGUGAGGGAGGAAGGCUUUUGGGUUGUAAACCUCUUUUCUCAAGGAAGAAAAAAAUGACGGUACUUGGGGAAUAAGCAUCGGCUAACUCCGUGCCAGCAGCCGCGGUAAUACGGAGGAUGCAAGCGUUAUUCGGAAUUAUUGGGCGUAAAGCGUCCGCAGGUGGUAAUUCAAGUCUGCGGUCAAAGACCGAAGCUUAACUUCGGGAAGGCAGUGGAAACUGAAUAACUAGAGUACGGUAGGGGUAGAGGGAAUUUCCAGUGUAGCGGUGAAAUGCGUAGAGAUUGGAAAGAACACCAGUGGCGAAGGCGCUCUACUGGACCGUAACUGACACUCAGGGACGAAAGCUAGGGUAGCGAAAGGGAUUAGAUACCCCUGUAGUCCUAGCUGUAAACGAUGAA
rnacentral:rRNA from 1 species